rnacentral:lncRNA from 1 species
CCUUUCGUCCAGCGGCGGGCCGGGAGCAGCACCGGAGAGCUGGGACCCGCGGUCGCCGUCCGCGGUCCUGGGAAAGGCCGCGGAUAGAUCGGACAGUGAGGCUCCCUGUAGAGCUGUGGUUAAAUCAGUCUGCCCUGUGGCCACCCCGUAGGGCGUCCAGCUUUGUCCAGUAGGCUGCAGUGUCUGCUCAAUGCCGGGUGUAAAUAAAAAACUAUCGAAAUCAGCCAGGCUAAUGUUGCUUUCCAAAAUUAAGUGACUUGGGUGAUGUAGAAAUCGCGACUCAGAAUGUCUAGAAAGCAUGUUCGGAAUGCUUUCCAGAUCUCCACCCUUCAGCAAUUCGGUUUAUUCAAGGUUGAAACAGGGUAACAAGAUUUGUAACCUCUUAACCCUUCUACACCUCUACCAUCGACUCCCUGAUCUCGAAUCGUCAUGGAUUCGACCAUGAAGCAUUCACGAUGGAGCAAACUUUACCUUGAAUUCUUCCAAGAUGAAUUUGAGCCUGCGUGCUUGGGGGACAUGUCUAAACAAAAUAUAUGGUCAUUUUCAUCUCUGACUGGAACUUGAAUUGGCUUCAGCAAGAACCAGCUCACACCUAAGUCAUCAACAAGACUCUUGCAGAUUUCUUCUGGAGAGACAGAAAUAUCUGCAGCCAGGAGGACGGCUGUUGGAGGAAUUCAGGAGCAUUCGACGGAGUCUCCUGUAGUCGGCGAGUGGUCAGUUUUACACAUCCUCCUCAGGACCUCACAGGCAAGAACAGCAGGAUCUGCUUCCUUCAUGAAACCUUGGCUCUGUUCUAUCCAUCGACAGUCCUUCAGGAUACCUAACCUGUCCAGAAACCAAGAGCCACGACUAUUCCUCCCAGGCCUUUGCCUUCCCCACAGAGAUAACGCGGACAUGCCGAGGGAUCCCCUUUACAUCCUUGUGCUCAAGUGGAUUCAGUGUCACAGUUCAAGCGCUUCUUUCUGAAAAGCCCCCUUUGGGAAGAGCAUUCUGCAGGCUGCCCCAUUUACAGUUCACAACGCGUUCUCACGACCGGCCAGGAAGAACACCACAGACCAGAAUCUUCUGCGGCAAAGCUUUAUUUCUUACAUCUUCAGGAGCCAGGGUGCAGGAAGCAAGAGAGCAAGAAGCAAGAGAGCAAGAAGCAAGAGAGCAA